GACGAACGCUGGCGGCGUGCUUAACACAUGCAAGUCGAACGGCAAGGCCCUGCUUUUGUGGGGUGCUCGAGUGGCGAACGGGUGAGUAACACGUGAGUAACCUGCCCUUGACUUUGGGAUAACUUCAGGAAACUGGGGCUAAUACCGGAUAGGAGCUCCUGCUGCAUGGUGGGGGUUGGAAAGUUUCGGCGGUUGGGGAUGGACUCGCGGCUUAUCAGCUUGUUGGUGGGGUAGUGGCUUACCAAGGCUUUGACGGGUAGCCGGCCUGAGAGGGUGACCGGCGACAUUGGUACUGAGAUACGGCGCAGACUCCUACGGGAGGCAGCAGUGGGGAAUAUUGCACAAUGGGCGGAAGCCUGAUGCAGCGACGCCGCGUGCGGGAUGACGGCCUUCGGGUUGUAAACCGCUUUCGCCUGUGACGAAGCGUGAGUGACGGUAAUGGGUAAAGAAGCACCGGCUAACUACGUG
rnacentral:rRNA from 1 species